AAUCAACGCUGGCGGCGUGCCUCAGGCAUGCAAGUCGAACGCGAAAGUCCCCUUCGGGGGGCAAGUAGAGUGGCGCACGGGUGAGUAACACGUAGGUAAUCUACCUUUGGAUGGGGAAUAACAAUCGGAAACGAUUGCUAAUACCGCAUAAUGCAGCGGCACCUAAUGGUGACAGUUGUUAAAGCGGGGGAUCGAAAGACCUCGCGUCUGAAGAGGAGCCUGCGGCGGAUUAGCUAGUUGGUAAGGUAAUGGCUUACCAAGGCUACGAUCCGUAACCGGCCUGAGAGGGCGGUCGGUCACACUGACACUGACAUACGGGUCAGACUCCUACGGGAGGCAGCAGUCGGGAAUUUUGGGCAAUGGGCGAAAGCCUGACCCAGCAACGCCGCGUGAAGGAUGAAAUCCCUCGGGAUGUAAACUUCGCAAGAACGGGAAGAA
rnacentral:rRNA from 1 species